UGACAUUUUCCCUGAAUCUAUGUACAGUCAAACCUCUCUAUAACCUGCUUGUCGCGCAUGGGUGGAUCUAGGGCCCAGAGAGGUUGUUACCCAAACACCUCGAUAAAAAAUUAAACCGUAUAUCUAAGUAGAAGUAUGACUGCUCAUCUUGAUCAUGUAAAAGCUAUUUUGGGCUGAUGCAACAAUAUCAACUUCAUGCUAAGAUGGCUAAGUGUGAAUUUGGUGUACCUAAGGUGGAAUACUUAGGUCACUUCAUUACUGCUGAAGGUGUUGUAACUGAUUCAAAGAAGAUAAUUGCUGCACAAAGUUGGCCUGUUCCUAGCAACGUCAAACAAUUGAAAGGGUUCAUUAGUCUUCUAGCAACUUUGUUGAUGAGAAGGAUGAGGCGACAAGCAAGGUGGUGGCAUAGUUUUUCUUCCCCUUAAUUAUGGUUUUGCCCUUUCGGGCUUUUAUUUCAAACAAUGAUAUUUCUUUUGGUUUGUUGAUGGCAUGUUGAACAAUUUAUUUUUUGUGUUUUCGCGUUUUGGUUUGGAUGUUUGGUUGUCAUUUUGAUGACUCUUGCCCUCGUUGGGCUAGAUGUUGUUAUGGAUAUAUUGUUUUUGAAA